GAUGAACGCUGGCGGCGUGCCUAAUACAUGCAAGUCGAGCGAACGGACGAGAAGCUUGCUUCUCUGAUGUUAGCGGCGGACGGGUGAGUAACACGUGGAUAACCUACCUAUAAGACUGGGAUAACUUCGGGAAACCGGAGCUAAUACCGGAUAAUAUUUUGAACCGCAUGGUUCAAAAGUGAAAGACGGUCUUGCUGUCACUUAUAGAUGGAUCCGCGCUGCAUUAGCUAGUUGGUAAGGUAACGGCUUACCAAGGCAACGAUGCAUAGCCGACCUGAGAGGGUGAUCGGCCACACUGGAGCGGAGACAGGGUCCAGACUCCUACGGGAGGCAGCAGUAGGGAAUCUUCCGCAAUGGGCGAAAGCCUGACGGAGCAACGCCGCGUGAGUGAUGAAGGUCUUCGGAUCGUAAAACUCUGUUAUUAGGGAAGAACAUAUGUGUAAGUAACUGUGCACAUCUUGACGGUACCUAAUCAGAAAGCCACGGCUAACUACGUG
rnacentral:rRNA from 1 species